AUUGAACGCUGGCGGCAUGCUUUACACAUGCAAGUCGGACGGCAGCACAGAGAAGCUUGCUUCUUGGGUGGCGAGUGGCGAACGGGUGAGUAAUAUAUCGGAACGUACCGAGCAGUGGGGGAUAACUAAUCGAAAGAUUAGCUAAUACCGCAUAUUUUCUGAGGAAGAAAGCAGGGGACCAUUUGGCCUUGCGCUGUUUGAGCGGCCGAUAUCUGAUUAGCUAGUUGGUGGGGUAAAGGCCUACCAAGGCGACGAUCAGUAGCGGGUCUGAGAGGAUGAUCCGCCACACUGGGACUGAGACACGGCCCAGACUCCUACGGGAGGCAGCAGUGGGGAAUUUUGGACAAUGGGCGCAAGCCUGAUCCAGCCAUGCCGCGUGUCUGAAGAAGGCCUUCGGGUUGUAAAGGACUUUUGUCAGGGAAGAAAAGGAUAGGGUUAAUACCCCUGUCUGAUGACGGUACCUGAAGAAUAAGCACCGGCUAACUACGUGCCAGCAGCCGCGGUAAUACGUAGGGUGCGAGCGUUAAUCGGAAUUACUGGGCGUAAAGCGGGCGCAGACGGUUACUUAAGCAGGAUGUGAAAUCCCCGGGCUCAACCUGGGAACUGCGUUCUGAACUGGGUAACUAGAGUGUGUCAGAGGGAGGUAGAAUUCCACGUGUAGCAGUGAAAUGCGUAGAGAUGUGGAGGAAUACCGAUGGCGAAGGCAGCCUCCUGGGAUAACACUGACGUUCAUGCCCGAAAGCGUGGGUAGCAAACAGG
rnacentral:rRNA from 1 species